AGAGUUUGAUCCUGGCUCAGAUUGAACGCUGGCGGCAUGCCUUACACAUGCAAGUCGAACGGCAGCGGGGACUUCGGUCCGCCGGCGAGUGGCGAACGGGUGAGUAAUAUAUCGGAACGUACCUUUCAGUGGGGGAUAACGUAGCGAAAGUUACGCUAAUACCGCAUAUUCUGUGAGCAGGAAAGCAGGGGAUCGCAAGACCUUGCGCUGAUUGAGCGGCCGAUAUCAGAUUAGCUAGUUGGUGGGGUAAAGGCCUACCAAGGCGACGAUCUGUAGCGGGUCUGAAAGGAUGAUCCGCCACACUGGAACUGAGACACGGUCCAGACUCCUACGGGAGGCAGCAGUGGGGAAUUUUGGACAAUGGGGGCAACCCUGAUCCAGCCAUGCCGCGUGAGUGAAGAAGGCCUUCGGGUUGUAAAGCUCUUUCGGCCGGGAAGAAAUCGCAUAGGUUAAUACCCUGUGUGGAUGACGGUACCGGAAUAAGAAGCACCGGCUAACUACGUGCCAGCAGCCGCGGUAAUACGUAGGGUGCGAGCGUUAAUCGGAAUUACUGGGCGUAAAGCGUGCGCAGGCGGUUUCGUAAGACAGAGGUGAAAUCCCCGGGCUCAACCUGGGAACUGCCUUUGUGACUGCGAAGCUAGAGUACGGCAGAGGGGGGUGGAAUUCCACGUGUAGCGGUGAAAUGCGUAGA
rnacentral:rRNA from 1 species